UCACCUCCCAAGGCCCCCAGCUCACCUGUCGAAGAUGCGGAAGCACUCAGCCAGCUCCUCCUCACUCUUCCCCUUGGCGUCCUCUUUCAUCUGGCGCACCAUCAUGACCAAGAACUCUUCGAAGUCGAUGGUUCCACUGCCUGAGGGAAGCGAGUGCUGAGUGAGCCUGAGCCCUGCACGCCAGCCUCUCCCCACCACCAUCGCACCCCUGCCUCAGAGGGCCACCUCCUCACCAUCCUCGUCCACCUCCUCGAUGAUGGCGUCCAGCUCCUCUUUGGUGGGUGUCUGGCCCAGCAUCCUCAUCACGGUGCCCAACUCCUUGACGCUGAUGUCCCCACCACCAUCAGCGUCAAACAUGUCGAAGGCGGCCUUGAACUCUGCCAGGAGAAGGAGGGCAGAGGGCGGAGGUGAACUUGGCCGGACUGUCAGCCUCACAUCCCCCCUCCCCCCCUCCCAGACACCAGACAUUCGCCAGCACCGCAGCCACCCACCAGCCAGCCUGCCCACCCCCACUCACCAGCGAUCAUCUCCUCGCUGAGGUAGGACCGGGCUUCAGCCUGCUGGUCCGUCUGCAGAAGACACAGACACAGGCCAUCAAAGAGCAGAAGGGGCAGCCUGGGAGCGCUUUCCCGCCUUAACCCGAUUCUCCUGCACCCCCAUUUCUGCUCCCUGUCUCCACCCAAGAGGGAAACAAGCUAACACCCACCCACAGUUCUCUGACCAACAUUGCUGGAAUCCUCCGAAGAUCUCAGGGAACAGGCAUGCCUUGAGAGUCAAGCCCUGGAACGUCCCAGCCCUCCCCUUCCAAGACAAGUCCAAGGCCUUCUUCUGGGGCUUCCUCCCAGACGCCUGGGUCCAUCUUCAGACAUCCAAGUUACUGCCCUGCAGAGCACCCGGAUCUGGCCCAGAAGUGCUCCGGCGAGUAAAGGGAUGAAAUCCCCUCUCGUCCUUACCAUGGUUGCGUGUCACCAGGACUCCUCUGCUGCAGGUCACCGCUUCUGCAGUCCACCACCCAAAGAUGCCUUGGCCCGCUCUAUCCUCUUGGAUUUGUAGGGGCACCCUCUCCUCCCACCUCCUGGCUCCCCAGGACCCAGUGCCCUGGCCAAUCAGAUCCUGGGGUCAGCGAGUCUCCCCUCCCGGAGUCCUAGCCCAUUACCUAAUUUAGCCAAGGGCCCUUGCAGGGAAAUUUAAGCCUCUGAGCAGGUGGCAGGCCUUAACGUCCUAGAUUCUUCGGAGGAGAACCCGCCCUGCUCCACCGCCUUAGCGAGCCCCCACUCUCCCCCCCGCCCAGAGGCACACACUCUCCUCAAGAUGGGUGAGGACAGUCAGAAAAUAGAGAAAAGUGGGGGGAUGGAGGAGCACAAGGCCUGACGUCCAAAACCCCAGGUCCAAAUCCUGCCUCCACAAGCUGUGCAACCUUGGGCUGGUGGCAGUGCCACUCUGAGCUUCAGUUUCCUUAUCUGCGUGCUGGGGACAGUCAUAAGCUCCCUCACAGAGAGACCGUGGUAAACGGGAACCCAGGUUUAAGUCACUUCGCUUGUGCCAGUGACUUGCUGUCUUUGAACCAGGUGGAGGACAGGAGGAGGGGAAAGUGACAGCCCGUUCUUAAACCUCUGCGACAUGCCACACACUGUGCUAAGCAGUUUAACCACAUGAUCUCAUCUGGUACUCACCCUGUGAGGUCGCAACUAUUAUUAUCCCCUUCUUACCAGGGGAGCUUUGUGAACCAUGAAGGUCUGUAGUCGUGUUGGUGAUUCUUAUGCAUCCCAGGGCGCCCGUCCAGAGGGAGACGUGUAUACAGGUGUCCAGGAAACGGGCUGUGCCCUUGGAGGAGAGAUAAACGUUGAAAGCAGAUUCCUUAUCAGACACAACUUAGAAUAGAUUUACAAGGAGAUCCUGCUGAGUAGCACUGAGAACUAUGUCUAAAUACUCAUGUUGCAACAGAACAAAGGGUGGGGGAAAAAAUGUAUACAUGUAAGGAUAACUUGAUCCCCUUGCUGUACAGUGGGAAAAUAAAAA